AGAGUGAAAGUGUGUGUGUGUGAGAGACUACACUGCCUGCUUCAGCUCUGGGUUCAGAGCAAUUGAAAGCAGCUGGCGAGUGUAUGAAGAGUGUGUUUUCAGCGGCGUCUCCCACAGCAACGCGGCCAUGUGUACAUUUAAGCGGAGGAAGGAGAGGAAAAAUCGAGUCAUAAGGCAAAAUAAACAAAUCAGCCUGCCUCUAUGGAGAUACACUUACUGAGACAGACUGGUGAUGUGUGUGUGUGUGUGUGUGUGUGUGUGUGUGUGUGUGUGUGUGUGUGUGUCUCACAGACAAGCCUCCCUGUGUUUGGGAGGAUCUUAUAAUCAAGGAGACCGGGUCUGUUUGAUCACUGUUCAAGAGGAAUAACAAAGAGAAGGGAACAAGAAAAAUGCUGAUGGAAGAGAAGAUACCAGAAGAGAAGUGAAGAGAAGAGAAGAGUAAAGAGGAGAUGAGAAGAGAUGAGAUGAGAAGACACAAGAAAAGAAGAGAAAAGAGGAGAAGAGAAAAGAAGGGAUGAGAAGACACGAUAAGAGAUGAGAAGAGACGAGAGGAGAGGAGAAAAGGAAAUAUGGAAGAGAAAAGAUGAGAAGAGAACAGAUGAGAAGAGAAAAGAAAAGAAGAGAUGAGAAGAGAAAAAGAAGAGAUGAGAAAAGACGAGAAGAGACAAGAAGAGAAGAGAAAAGAGAUAGAAAAAGAAGACGUGAGAAGAGAAAAGGUGAGAAGGGAUGAAAACAGCCGAUAAAAACGAAAGGUGAAGAGAAAAGACUAGAAAAGGAGAGAGAAGUAAUGAAGGAGGCAAGAUCAGAGAAGAGACAAGGGGAGAAAAGAAGAGCUAAAUAAAAAAAAAAUGAUCAGUGAAAAAGUGUAGAGAAAACCAGAAUAGCAAAGAAGAGUAUAGAUAAUAAAAGAAGAGAGAGAGAGGGGGAGAGAGAGAUGGAAUGAAGAUAAAAGGAAAGAAAACGGAGAAAAGAGAAGUAACGGUUUAAGGGAAACUCACACAAGAAAACAGAUCACAGGAGAUGAAAAGAGAGAGAAAAGCAGAGAUCAGGAAAGAAAACAGUGAGAAAAGAGAAUGUGACAAAGGAGAAUCGAGAAAAGUAAAGAAAGGUGCAGGGACAACGAGAAGAAUGAAGAACAGAGCAGCUAAUAAGAGAAGAGGACAGGGCGAGAGAGAAGGGAAAAGAAGACGAAAGAAAAGAAAAAAGGAGAAAAAGACAACGAGAGAAGCGAUCAGAGGAAAGAAAACAAUCAGCGAGAAAAGAAGAGGAAAAAAAGUGAAGCGUUAGCGAGAGAUAAGAAGAGAACGAGGGAGAAAAAAAGAAAAGAACCGAAUGAGAUAAAAGGAAAGACAAGAGAAAAAAGAGAAUGAUUGAAAAGGAAAAAGAGAACAAGGAUAAAGAAAGAAAGAAGGACAGAAUAUAUAUAUAUAUAUAUAUAUAUAUAUGAACAAGAGACAGGAGAUGAAAAAGGAGGAGAAGAAAAUAUUAUUUUUAAAAAACAAACAUGGCCGCCAUUAGCGCCAGCAUCAGGACUUUCAUCUUUUACCUUUAUAGUCGUAGUUGAGGUUCAGGUAAUUGUUGUCGCGGUUGUUCUGGGAGAACGGAGGACUGCGAAAGGAAAAGGAAACAGUCAUCCGGUUCGUUUGUGUUUGUGUUUGAAACAGAAUCAGCUUGUAAACCGUCGAGAUUCUGAAGCUUGUGGCCAGAAAAGUGCACAACAGCGUAAACGACGACUCGUAUGCUCAUUUUUACCGUAAGUGUCAAAAUACAGUAGCAAUUUUCCAUCCAUCCAUCCAUCCUCUAUACUGCUUAUCCUACACCGGGUCCCGGAGCACCCAGAACCGAUCCCAGAGAACUCGAAGGCGGGUGCAACCACCUGGACGGGGUUCCCACGCAUCACAGGGCACAAUCACACACACACCAUGGACAAUCUGGACACGCCAAUCAGCCUUCAACACAUGUCUUUGGACUGGGGGAGGAAACUGGAGUACCCGGAGGAACCCCCGAAGCACGGGGAGAACAUGUAAACUCCGCACACACAGGGCCGGAGGCGGGACUCGAACCCUAACCCCGGACGUGUGAGGUAAACGUGCUAUCCGCUGAUCCACGAUAACGAAAUCUUCCAAAUUUAUACUUGUUUAACUCCUGACUCAUCGUCGCUUCUCGGCCUGUCGGGUUUCUUUUUUUCUGACCGGGUCGGUUUGUCUAAAUCCGACAGCGACUGUUUUUAAAUGGACUGUGUAGAAGGUCAGAGCAGAAGGUCACAGCCUGCAAUGUGGAUUGUCCAGCUCUGCGUUACUGCCUCCAGGCUGAUGACGUCAGCGGCGCACGGGACGAGGCCCCGGAUAGCACACACACACUCACACACACUCACACACACACACGCCCGGAGAGAGGGAAGAAAUUUCCAUGCACUCGUUUCCUUUCAUUGUUCGGAAAGCCAGGGGCCAGAUAAGGCUUGUACAGAGGCAGCACGCGAUCACUCCGGAACUCAGGCGUCCUGAUAAGGCCACAGCAACGUGAGCAACUUCCUGUCCGGCCCCUGCAGCAUUCUGAUUCAUUCCCUCUGCACGGAGCCGCAUUCAACACACACACACACACACACACACGGAAGCUUCCUCUCACCUGUCCAGAGCUUUGUCCAGGGACUGGCAGCUGCUAGAGAGGGAACCGUCGGCACUACCGAAAGGGUCCAUGACCUGCAGGAAAAACGACUCGUUAAGUCAAAUCUCGAACGCAGGCUCUUCUGUGUUUGGUCUGCCACGAGGAAGGAGACAAUAGAGACUCCACUGUUUCUAAAUUCAUUAGAUUCAUCAGAAUUCGAGCUCUCGAAGUGAACGGCGGCGGAUUUCGUGCCGGUGCUUACGUUGGGAUCUGGCGUCUCGGGGAUGAACUCUCCCUCGCUGUGGAUGCUGGUGUAGGAGCCCUGGCGCGCAAUCUGCUGCUGCUCCUCGGGCACGCUGCCAGGCGGUGGAGAACUCCUCCCCGUGUGCAGAGAGCCUAGAGAACAAUACAGAGAUCGAGAGAUAGGCGGAUAACCCUGACACUAAUCCAACAGAGGUCGAAAGAUGGAUCCGGGGGUUAGGGUUAGGGUUAGACAGAAAGAGAAGGAGGACUGGAUUAACUCUGCGCUUAAGCGAUGAAAGAGAGAGAAAAGACUGAGACUUCUCCACCUUAUCCACGAUCCAAUGGAUCGGUUUGUUAUGAGGGUGUAAUUAAAGUCACCCAAAACAAUUUCCACAAAUAUAUAUAUAUAUAUAUAUAUAUAUAUAUAUAUAUAUAUAUAGUGUGAACUGUCUGACAGUAUUGUCAUGCAACGGAUCUAGUUUCUUCAUCUCAGGCUUUUGUUGACACUUUUCUGACCCAGAAAUGAUAACCACAAGUCAUAAUAAUUCAACUCUUGAGGUAAAUAUAGUUUCAGCAGAGAGCGUAGAGUCAUUUAGGGGUGAAUUAGGGGUGAAUUCUCGUCGAUUCGAAUCUUUAUCGGAAUUGUAAUUCUCCGCACAGACAGCAGAGGGCUCUAAAACUUGACAAACUGCUGUUUUAAGCUGCACGGACCUGAAAAGGGUCCGAAAAAUCUGUUUUGAAUCUCCAGGUCACUUUAAGUAAAGAGAAAGCUGAGUGAGAUAGAGCCGGAGUCCGAUUCGUAAGGAAUAAGCAAAGCUGAAGGAGAGGGUACGAAAGAGCUGGAAAGAAAUGACCGAAAAAAAGAGAGAGAGAAAAAAACACAACCCAGUGUGUAAUAUAGAAAAGACAAAGAGUGAAAGAGUGAGUGAGUGAGAAAGACAGAGAGAGAGAGACAGGAAAGAAUGAAAUUGAGAUAAGUCUACACGUACGGGCUUGACAAUAAGAAAGCGGAGAUGGACUAAAGAGGUGAAGAGGUGAAAAGAGGCUUGCUUUAGGAUGGAGAUAAUGUGAGAGACAGACGCCGGAGCACAGACACAGUCAGAUAAGAGCAGACGAGGGCAGACAGACAGACAGAGAAAUGAAAAAGGGUCACGGGGGACAUGUUUUUUUGAUUGAGAGUGCCAGAAAUGGAAAAGAGUCAUAUGUGUUUAAAGUGGUGUCGUCUUUCACCCCAAUUAGCAGGAUAAACACUGCCCACUCAUAGAUUAAUAUUAAAGUAACAGGGCGCACGACUUCCAGCCAUCCCUCUCUCUCUCUCCCUCCCUUUCUUUUUCUUUCUCUCUGUCUCAUGCACUCUCUAAUAGUGCAUGAGACAACAAAGUGUAUCCCAUAUAUCUCUUAUAUCUCGUAUAUGUGCCGAUUAUCAUUUACAUGAUAUACUGACAUACUUUAUUCAUGUCUAAAUCGCUGAAUAACUCUAUUACUGGUUACUUAUUUAAGAACAAGACAUACUUUUUAUCCAUUUAUAAGUACAUUUAAUAGUAUGUAACAUCCACUUAAAUUAGUUCCUGUAUCGCUUUCAUUAUGGCAGCUUUUUUCCCCAAACGUUUUCCUAAACGUUUCCUAGACGUUUCCUAAAUGUUUCCUAGACGUUUCCUUAUGGAAAAACGCCGUCAUACCUUCCAAUUACACGUUUUAAAUAUGUGUAAGCUUUGAGGAAUGCUUCAAAGCCCACGCACGUCACUUUUGAUGCCAAGAUACAGCAUACGUUCACUAGGUCCUCAUAAAAUAAAGGAACAUCAGGGAUAGCAGAUAUAUAGCCGGCUAAAUAUUAAGAUAAAUCAUCUAUCUGUCGUCUCGAUGCGUGGGAUUCUGGGAUACCUAAAGGAUACACGCGCACUGCGUUAAGAAAUCAGCCGUGUGAAGGCAGCUAUUAUCCAACGCAAACAUUUUAUUCAGACACGACUCAGUGGUAUCCUGCCUCCAAAUAGACAGCGUUUGUAAUACGCAGGGGAAUGGCAUAAUACCCUUCACUGUUCGAAAGAGAGAGAGAGAGAGAGAGUUCCUGUAAAUGAAGUAGUGCUCAAGCUCCUGAGAUGAGAUCUGUCCAAUGAGGACGUUAUUCUAUUCAUCGGCCGAAUGUUUUCUGACAUUGGAGGACAGAACUGCCACUCCGAGUGAAGAACAUGUUCUUCAGGAUCGCAUUCGGUCCCCUUCUCUUCUCUCGCUCAUUCGUUCACAUGAGAGAUAAGGAGAAAAAACGAGGGGGGAAAAGUGAACCCUGAAGGAGAUAUAUAUAUUUUUUAAAAUCCCUGUGUAUUCUCUUUCGCUCGGGUAUAAAGAUGGAUAAAGGAGUGAGAUGGUCAUUGGAGCGUUUGCCAAAGGAGUGUUUGAAGGAUUGCUUUGAGCUCUCUCUCUCUUUCUUUCUUUCUUUCUCUCUCAGCUCACCUUUUUUUUUUUUGCAUGUCUCUGUCUGUCCAUCACAUGUCUGCUCUGUCUUUAACCCUCUCUCACUAUAAAGGUGAAUUCUGCUGUGGCGAGGCUGUGAGAUUUAUCCUGUUCCUCUACCAACACUACACUACACACACACACAUACACGCUAAUAAUCCAGCACCGAAUUGUCCGUUCAUUACAGUCUGGAAUUAUGCCAGACUUUAGCACAGGAAUCAUGUUAUUUGUUCCAAAAUAAUCAGCGAGCUUAGAAGAUAAAGCUUUUUUUUUUUUAAAUGGGACAGACUUUAUCUCAGGAAUAUGAACAGUACCUUUACAAAUAAAACACAAAUACACUUGUGAUAACACAGUGGGUGUGUCUGAAAUGUAAAAAAAAAAGAUAAAUUCUGCCUACUAAAAUUGUUGUGUAAAUUUGAGUCAUGUCUGAAUCUUGCAAAUCCCAAAACACCAGCGUGUUGGAGCAGUUAUUUGUCAAUAUAUUUUUAAGAAUAAUCACAAAUGAUUCAAUCUGUCUGCUUCAGUACUUUAUGUGAUGAGUGAAGCUGAAGUUGGUAUGGCCAUCAGGCCCUGAAAUGCAGCAGGAAACACACAGGUGACUGAUUUGCACUGAAUCUGUAGCGGGUCGUGAACAUUACGGAUUAGUCAAAUGUGGCUAUAUCUUCCGCAACUAAUCCGCCUUUAUUUGCGUUUGCAUGACGUCAAAGCGG